GUGGUAAUGCCGGAUGCUCCAUCACACUGCAUGGUGUGUUGGGAAAGCCUUUGCGGCAUGGGAUGGGGUCGCGUCCUAUCAGCUUGAUGGCGGGGUAACGGCCCACCAUGGCUUCGACGGGUAGCCGGCCUGAGAGGGCGACCGGCCACAUUGGGACUGAGAUACGGCCCAGACUCCUACGGGAGGCAGCAGUGGGGAAUAUUGCACAAUGGGCGCAAGCCUGAUGCAGCGACGCCGCGUGAGGGAUGGAGGCCUUCGGGUUGUAAACCUCUUUUGUUAGGGAGCAAGGCAUUUUGUGUUGAGUGUACCUUUCGAAUAAGCACCGGCUAACUACGUGCCAGCAGCCGCGGUAAUACGUAGGGUGCAAGCGUUAUCCGGAAUUAUUGGGCGUAAAGGGCUCGUAGGCGGUUCGUCGCGUCCGGUGUGAAAGUCCAUCGCUUAACGGUGGAUCCGCGCCGGGUACGGGCGGGCUUGAGUGCGGUAGGGGAGACUGGAAUUCCCGGUGUAACGGUGGAAUGUGUAGAUA
rnacentral:rRNA from 1 species